rnacentral:rRNA from 1 species
AACGAACGCUGGCGGCAUGCCUAACACAUGCAAGUCGAACGAUGGCUUCGGCCAUAGUGGCGCACGGGUGCAUAACGCGUGGGAACCUGCCCUUAGGUUCGGAAUAACUCAGAGAAAUUUGAGCUAAUACCGGAUAAUGUAUUCGGACCAAAGAUUUAUCGCCUUUGGGUGGGCCCGCGUAGGAUUAGGUAGUUGGUGGGGUAAUGGCCUACCAAGCCGACGAUCCUUAGCUGGUCUGAGAGGAUGAUCAGCCACACUGGGACUGAGACACGGCCCAGACUCCUCCGGGAGGCAGCAGUGGGGAAUAUUGGACAAUGGGGGAAACCCUGGUCCAGCAAUGCCGCGUGAGUGAUGAAGGCCUUAGGGUUGUAAAGCUCUUUUACCCGGGAUGAUAAUGACAGUACCGGGAGAAUAAGCUCCGGCUAACUCCGUGCCAGCCGCCGCAGUAAAAC